rnacentral:tRNA from 1 species
GCAUUGGUGGCUCAGUGAGUGGUAGAAUCUUCGUCUCCCAUGCAGGGGACCUGGGUUUGAUUCCCGGCCAAUGCA